AUCCAGAUGACGAGUCGUAAAUAGGACGAAACACGCGUCCUGUAU
rnacentral:hammerhead_ribozyme from 1 species